rnacentral:lncRNA from 1 species
GAAGAAGAACAAAGAUGAACAAAAAGAAGAAAAUAAGAAUAGAAAAGAAGGAGAAUAAGAAGAGGAUGAUAAGAAAAGAAGGAGAAUAAGAACAGGAGUAGAGGAGAAGAAGAGGAAAAAUAGAAGAAGAGGAGAAGUAGAAGAAGAGGAGAAGUAGAAGAAAAGGAGGAGGAGAAGAAGCGGUGAAGAAGAAGAAGAAGAAGAAGAAGAAGAAGAAGAAGAAGAAGAAGAAGAAGAAGAAG